UGUGACCUCACUGUGCCAUGGGCGUGGCCAGGGAUGGCCUCUGGAGCUUCAAGCUGCUUGUCUUGUCUCACCUGGCUGGUCGCCGCAGCUUCACUUAUAUCUUUUUAUAUAAAAAUUCAUGAAUCAAAUGUUGGCAAGAUUGAGCAGCAAGGUUCUAGAGCCUUGUUUCUCCAGCCUGGCUGCAUAUUAGUGCCACCUGGGAGCCUUAGAAGAUAUUACACUUCAGUCUGAGCCCCACUAUCUUUCAUUUAAUUAUUGUAUGGUGUGGACUGGGAAUUGGGAUUUAAAACCUCCCCAGAUAAUUCUACUGUGCAGCCAAAUUUGACAGCCACAACUCUAAAUUUGCUCUGGGGCACCAUUUCAAAUUAAGAAGAGGAAAAAAUUUUUUAAACUCAAAUAAAAUAGGUAUAUGUGGCAUGGUCCUUAAGAUUGCCUGUACUGGACCAAAUUACCUGCUCCUCAGGAAGCCUUGUAGCUCAACUGACAUCAACUACAGAUGGUGCUACAGGAGCAGGUCACUGAGUGAGGAAGAAUGUCUCCAACAACCUGCCUUCCAGAGACACAGAGCCAUCAGGAAGCCAACUCAUCUGAGCAGUUCUCCAGAGGAAGGGAAAAGCAAGCAGGAUGCACUUUCCUGGUAAAGACCAGAGUCGACUCCCCAAGCCUGGCCUGCAGAAUAACUUUGCCCUGGAAGAUGGAAAUGCCCAUUUCAGAUGUGAAUUGCAGAGUGACAGAUGACUCAACCAUCCUAACAAACUAGAACAUGUGAGUUGUUAUCUUCAAAGUAAGCAGAAAAAGUGAAAAGAUGGAAGAGACAUUCCCAUAUACCCUAGCAGCUUUUGUCAAAGAAUCUUCCCAAGAUUUGAGUCCAGGAAGAAUGUCUCCCAAGGGCCUGAUCUACGUGGUGGUUCCAGUCACAUUUGCCUGUCAUCUCCAAAAUCCAAGCUCUGCAAUUGCCUUGACCACUUUCUCCUUCUUGAUCAUUCUCCAUUCCAAAGGAUGUUGGAAUUCAGUACAAAGACCCUUUUAUCCCUGAGUUAUUUCAGAAUAAAUUGUUGGUACAAUGUUUCAUCAUUUCUUCAUCUCUUAAGUGUUUCUGAGAGAGGGGGAGUUCUACAUAACCAUAUUAUAGUCAUCAAAAUGAAGAAUUUACACUGUGACAUUAUUUCCAUCCUAUUUCAGAUACUACUCAAGUUUCAACAAUUAUCUUAAUGAAGCAUUUAUAGCUAAAUGUCAGUUGCUGAAAAUAUUGCAUUGCUUUAUUUGUCUAAGUCAAACAGAAUGAUGGUUCAGCUUCUACAUAUCACAAUUGUCAGGUAAACAGUGCAAUCAAUUGUGAGUCCCCUACAUCCCCCUUGGGGUCAUAUACGAAUCCUAUGGGUUCAAGGCCAUCUCCAAAGUGCUUCCUUGGUGACUGGUCUCUAUUUGUCUCCUGACCAAGCCCACAGGGCCUAGUCUAAGACAGAGAGUCCAGCUGGUGCCUGUCCCUUUUUAGUUGUCACCCUGUCCCAUGGACCUUCUCCACAGCCUCCAUGUGUGGGCCCCUAGGUAACACAACAUUUAAGAUUUAGCCACCCCUUGGGCUCUGUGUGGAGUAAGAGUGCAAGUCUACUGGUGAUGCCCGCUUUUCAGGCUAUUCUUUAUCAUUCUUUAUUCAUCUCUUCCCCCAAAGCAGCCACCAUCUUCCUCUCCAACCCCUGGAGCCUUCUUCUUUUUUGAUGGCUCAGUUCCCUGUCUCCACAGGUUCCCAGGAGACCAAGGUUUCAGGUUCAAAUCCCUAACAAGGCCAUGCAGCCAGAAAAGCAGAGUGAGAUACAAUAGAGCAGGAUGGGCACCGGGGCAAACUGGAGGGUCCCUUGCCCCUUCUAGUGGUAGUAACAGUUUCUUAAACCCCUACCCCUGUUGCUGCUUUGGUCCACUGGGUCCACAUGUUCUGCUCAGUGAAG
rnacentral:lncRNA from 1 species